CCUACGGGUGGCAGCAGUGGGGAAUAUUGCACAAUGGGGGCAACCCUGAUGCAGCGACGCCGCGUGAGCGAUGAAGUAUUUCGGUAUGUAAAGCUCUAUCAGCAGGGAAGAAAAUGACGGUACCUGACUAAGAAGCCCCGGCUAACUACGUGCCAGCAGCCGCGGUAAUCCGUAGGGGGCAAGCUUUAUCCGGUUUUAUUGGGUUUAAUGGGUGCGUAGGCGGGCUGUUAAGUCAGCGGUAAAAGCCCGGGGAUCAACCCCGGCGAGCCGUUGAAACUGGCUGUCUUGAGAUGUCGAGAGGUAGGCGGAAUGCGCAGUGUAGCGGUGAAAUGCUUAGAUAUUGCGAAGAACUCCGAUUGCGAAGGCAGCAUACCGGCGGCGAUCUGACGCUGAGGCACGAAAGCGUGGGUAUCGAACAGGAUUAGAUACCCUAGUAGUC
rnacentral:rRNA from 1 species